rnacentral:rRNA from 1 species
AGUAACGGCGAGUGAAGCGGGAUGAGCUCAAAUUUGUAAUCUGGUGGACUCAGUUCAUCCGAAUUGUAAUCUAUAGAAAAGUUUUCCGCGCUGGACCGUGUCUAAGUCCCUUGGAACAGGGUGUCAGAGAGGGUGAGAAUCCCGUGCUUGAUACGACCACCAGUGCUAUGUGAUACUUUUUCAACGAGUCGAGUUGUUUGGGAAUGCAGCUCAAAAUGGGUGGUAAAUUCCAUCUAAAGCUAAAUAUUGGCGAGAGACCGAUAGCGAACAAGUACCGUGAGGGAAAGAUGAAAAGCACUUUGGAAAGAGAGUUAAACAGUACGUGAAAUUGUUAAAAGGGAAACGAUUGAAGUCAGUCGUGCUCUCUAGGACUCAGCCAGUUCUUCUGGUGUAUUUCCUAGUGAGCGGGUCAACAUCAGUUUAGAUCGCUGGAUAAGGUCAUUAGGAAUGUGGCUCCCUCGGGAGUGUUAUAGCCUAGUGUCGCAUACAGUGGUUUAGACUGAG